rnacentral:lncRNA from 1 species
CUAAAAAAAAAAAAAUUUAAAGGUGGCUUCCCCAGUUUAUUUUUUUUAAUUUUAAAAUCGGCAUCAUUGUACAAAAUGCAAAUUGAGAAAAGCAGAAAAGAUAUCACACAUAAUUCCACCACUUAAAUUCUCUAGCACUUCCAGAGCUAAGGAGGCAUGAUGUUUACUGAGCUCCCAAGACCAUUUUGGCAAGAGCAUGCAACGCCUAAGCAAGUCUAUGAACAGGAAAACAUGCAGUGAGGAGGGAGUACAGCAAAGACCGGAUGCCUCUCAAACCGUGUGACAAGCAAUGUGGGUUCACUUAUUGUUUGAAUGGAAUCAGUUUGAGCCUUACCCCUCCAUAUUCCCUGCAAAGAAGUUCAAAUACCUUAAGCCCCUGCCUGCACAUGGGGACUCGACCCCAACCCCUCUCUCUGACCAUAAUCAGAUCCAAGUCAGUCCCCAUUACACAAAAUUUACAUACCUCCUAGGUAUGUAAGCAGCAUCCAUCAUCAGUCUCAAAUUUUCCAGUGGGAGUCCAUUUGCCUCUGCAGGUAACCAUGAGGAUUGUCACUGAGAGCAGGGUAUUAGACAACUCCCAUCUGCUUCUCAGGUGACCACAGGGUGAGCAGGGUGUUAGAGGACAGCCACCACCUCCCCAUGGGGUGUCUGAGAGCUUGGCCACCCCUUCUCAUAACAGGGGCUGGUGAUGACUGAUUCUUGCACUCUGAGCUCCAGGUAAGUAGUCCAGCUGAGAUGCAGCCAGUUAGGUAGUGCCCCAUGCUCUCACAGACCAGGAUAUACAUUUAUAACUAAUUUUGAAGGUUACUUUUUUUUGGUACUGCAGAUUGAAACCCAGGGUGCUCAACCACCAAGCCACAUUGCC